AAGUCGUAACAAGGUCUCCGUAGGUGAACCUGCGGAGGGAUCAUUACUGAGUGAGGAUUCACAUCCGACCUCCAACCCUUUGUGAACACAUCUUGUUGCUUCGGGGGCGACCCUGCCGUCCGCGGCAUUCCCCCCGGAGGUCAUCAAAACACUGCAUUCUUACGUCGGAGUAAAAAGUUAAUUUAAUAAAACUUUCAACAACGGAUCUCUUGGUUCUG
rnacentral:misc_RNA from 1 species